AGCAGCCGCGGUAAUUCCAGCUCCGAUAGCGUAUAUUAAAGUUGUUGCAGUUAAAAAGCUCGUAGUUGAAUUUCGGGAUCGAAUUGUCGGUCGUGCUUCGGUACGCACUGGCAUUAUCGGUUCCUACCUUCUGAAGAACCGCGAUGUCAUUAAUUUGGUGUCGUGGGGAAUCAGGACUGUUACUUUGAAAAAUUAGAGUGUUUAAAGCAGGCUUACGCUUGAAUACAUUAGCAUGGAAUAAUGAAAUAGGACGUUUGAUUCUAUUUUGUUGGUUUCUAGGAUCGACGUAAUGAUUAAUAGGGAUAGUUGGGGGCAUUAGUAUUCAAUUGUCAGAGGUGAAAUUCUUGGAUUUAUUGAAGACUAACUACUGCGAAAGCAUUUGCCAAGGAUGUUUUCAUUAAUCAAGAACGAAAGUUAGGGGAUCGAAGACGAUCAGAUACCGUCGUAGUACUUAACCAUAAACUAUCGACCGACGUAGGGAUCGGAUGAUUGUUUAAUUUUAUAAUGUACUCUAUUCGGC
rnacentral:rRNA from 1 species